GACGAACGCUGGCGGCGCGCUUAACACAUGCAAGUCGAACGGAAAGGCCUGCUUUCCCUUGUGGAGUGCGGGUACUCGAGUGGCGAACGGGUGAGUAACACGUGAGUGAUCUGCCCCCAACUUGGGUAUAAGCCUGGGAAACUGGGUCUAAUUCUCGAUAGGACUGCAGGGUGGUGCCUGUGGUGGAGAAUGUUUUUCUAGUGGUUGGGGAUGAGCUCGCGGCCUAUCAGCUUGUUGGUGGGGUAAUGGCCUACCAAGGCGGGGAGGGGUAGCCGGCCUGAGAGGGGGGACGGCCGCAUUGGGACUGGGUUAAGGCCCAGACGCCAGCCGGAAGCAGCAGUGGUGAAGAAAGGAGAGUAAGCGGGAGGGUGAAGCAGCGACGGAGCGUGGGAGGUGAUGGGCUUCGAGUUGUAAACUACUAGGGAAGAAGAAAAGGGCACCUGGUUGGAAGGGUGGUGACGGUAGUGGUAGAAGAAGCACCGGCUAACUACGUG
rnacentral:rRNA from 1 species